GCUUGUCUCAAAGAUUAAGCCAUGCAUGUCUAAGUAUAAGCCUUUGUACGGCGAAACUGCGAAUGGCUCAUUAAAACAGUUAUAGUUUAUUCGAUAAUCAAUUGCUACAUGGAUAACUGUAGUAAUUCUAGAGCUAAUACAUGCGUCAGAACCCAACUUUACGGAAGGGUCGUGUUUAUUAGAUACAAAACCAACAUCUCGUUGGUGAUUCAUAAUAACCAAGCGAAUCGUCGGUUUACCGACGAUAGAUCGUUCAAGUUUCUGACCUAUCAGCUUUGGUCGGUAGGGUAUUGGCCUACCGAGGCAAUGACGGGUAACGGAGAAUUAGGGUUCGAUUCCGGAGAGGGAGCCUGAGAAACGGCUACCACAUCUAAGGAAGGCAGCAGG
rnacentral:rRNA from 1 species